rnacentral:rRNA from 1 species
UACGUAGGGAGCGAGCGUUGUCCGGAUUCAUUGGGCGUAAAGAGCUCGUAGGCGGCUUGGCAAGUCGGGUGUGAAAACUCCAGGCUCAACCUGGAGACGCCACCUGAUACUGCCAUGGCUAGAGUCCGGUAGGGGACCACGGAAUUCCUGGUGUAGCGGUGAAAUGCGCAGAUAUCAGGAGGAACACCGGUGGCGAAAGCGGCUCACUGGACCAUUACUGACGCUGAUGCACGAAAGCUAGGGGAGCAAACAGG